AAUCAUCAAGUGUCAAGUGUGCAAAUCAUCACAAAAGUGGGGUCAGGGACUAAAACCAAAACGAGACAUAUUUGCAGGGACCAAAACCAUAUUUUAGCCUUUAUUAAAAUCACAAUGAAUCCUAACAAGCACAAGGAGUGCUAGACAAGGAGUCGAAAAGUAGCAACAUAGGAAAACAAAAGUUGUACCAAAACCUUCACCCAACAUACAUAAAAAACCCCUCAACCAACAUCACAAGCUGCCACAAAAACAACUUCCACCACCUACAUUCCGCUGCUCGCACACAACUCCCAAAUUGCAACGUCAAGAACCAAACCAACACAACCUUGGAAAAAUAACCGAUAACUAUAACGAUUGAAACAACAACAACCACCUUCGCCACAACAACAAUCGAUGUCACCUUAACGAAUCCACUUUUGCAACAACAACAACUAGCGCAACAACAAAAUUCACCUUCACAGCAGCAACACCAUCGAUCCACAUCGACAACCCACCAGAUAACAGAGUAGUCGAACCGGAUGAGAUAGUUAUGAUCGAACCCAACCGUUGAAGACCCACCGACACCGCCUCACACCACCAAAAACGUGGCCUACAUCACCACCUCACACCACCAUCACCUCCUCCACAUAGAUCUGGAUCAGAAGGAAACAACCACCACACGAAUUCACCAGGCAACCUGUGUUUUUCUAACAGUCGCAAACUCAGCACCCGCAAGGAAGAAAACAUCAUCGCCGCGGCUACAGUACCAAAACCACCACCAUCACAUCCUCUUACCACCAAGACCGAGACUUACCUCGCCACCAUCACCACUGUCACGUAGCCAUCUGGUGAGCCACCAGCACAUCCACAUAGCCACCACACAGCCACCAUGAAAACACUCCAAAAACCAUCUUUCACAACUAGCCCACCACAGACCGCCGCACCAACGACCACCUUUCACCACCAUUUUCACUGCACCACCGAAGAUACUCUAUCAUCACCUACAAUCCACCACAACAUAAAAACCCCCACCCAAAUGAACCAUGACACAAAACCUCCAGCCUAACCACCACCAUAUCACCCUCAUAACUCGCGGAAGGGGUCAACAAAAUCUGAACGAACACCAGAUUGAAAAAUCAACGAACAACACAACAGACCGCCAGAGAACAGCAACAACACCGUCGCCGGAAGAUCUGACAAAAGGGGUGGUGCGGAGGACAACCCUCCCUCGUCGCACCACCAUCCUGAAUAGCUACAUCUUGUAAGAGGAGGAUUUGGAUUGGGGAGGAAGAAGAUGCAAGCGGCGGAGAGUACUUUUUUUUUUGGUACAAGAGUACUGUUUUCUAUGGAGAGGCGAGAUGUUUUUUUUUUCUUCAUGUAAUUAGUUGUUUUUUAGUGUAG
rnacentral:lncRNA from 1 species